AGGGGCGGCCAGGGCGCGGCUGCUCGCGCCACCUGUCGGCCGGGCGGAGUCAGAGCGCCGCGAGGUGGGGUCGGGGCGGCGCGGUCGGCGAGGUCCUCCUGGCACCUGGCGGCAACGGUGGGGCGAGCGCGACCUCGUCUAAAACCCCAGAAACUCCUCUGCCUGGUGCGCCGACCGCCGGCCUCUGAAAAGUCAGAAUGACUCCUACGCUUGUGGCUUCUACACUGCAAAGUCCGCUUCCCCUACAAACCAAAUUACACCUGCUCUUGGCAAGCGGAUAACCUUUCUGAGUUCAACUCAGGUGGAUAUUAGGAAAAAAUGACUGAUAACCUGGACAUGUUAUUAUUAUUUUGUUAAAUAGCUGUUAUUUUUCAUAGUCUGAAACACCCUUUUGUGAUACUUCAUCUUCUGGCUUCCAAGACCGGCAGAAGCAUCUGUCCUCUGUCUGCGAAGUACCUGAGCGUGGGUUUUUCUGCUCCCAGAACGUGGAGGCAGACGCCAGGCUGCCAGGAUCAUCCUGGGGCGUGUUGUGCAUCCGAGGCCCCUCCAGGCUCUCCAUGUGAUUCUAAAACAUGUUAUCUCCUCUCUGUCCGGAUAAAGUAAUGUUGGAUGAGACCCUUGAGGACCUCCCUAAUACUGAACGUCUAUUCAUAAUCUGAUGUGGGACAAAGUACAGGGAAACACCAAGAGUGAUCAACUGACCCGGGCAGCCAGAAGAGAUGAUAGGGAUACAUAUUCUUAACGGUGAUGGAGUGGUUUCAUAGAACAAAAUAGGCUGUUCCUGCCCGAGGGAACAUGGACUUCAGUGGAAGAGACACUCAGAAGAGAGCUUCGAAACAAGUAAGAAUUUCAGAUUGUGCUCAGUUCUUUGAAGAAAAACACAUGGGAUAAGUGAGAGACGUGUGACUCUGGGGGCAGAGGCUGUGUGGUCAGGAGGGGGCCCGUCAGUCAAAAGGCCUUGGUUGCCAAGCCAUUGAAACUCCUUCUGCGUCAUGUUGGGCAGAUUACAAUGUAGAUGAUUCCAUAGCUGGGCUGCAGCACCGUCCCUGGAGAGCACAUGACAGGAAUGCAUGUUGGGCAGGAUGUGAAGCUGAGCCCUGGGCUGAAGCAGACAAACUUGACCCCACCUGCGGACAGGACACUUCUGAAGCCGCUGCCUCGGCUUCCACCAGAAGCUGCAUCUCUGUGCUGCUAGAGAUGGAGAGCCCCGUCCUGGCUGGUUCAGUCGGGGCUGUGUUCAGCAGCUAAAGCUGCAUGUACUGUGACCGUCUGAGCCAAAGGCAGGGAAAGAUUGUUCAUUAUUAGUGUCUGGAAAUACAGGUAAUUUUGUGGCUGUUCAUUUUUAAAUGCUCUCUAAUCCAUCUGGAAGUGAUUUUGGUAUGUGGUAUGUAAAGUAUUUAAAAAAAACAUAUAGUUUGAGUAAAACUGUUGGUGGUAGGCUAAAAGCUCCUUAAAAACAGGAAGCAUGACUGAAUCACUCUGGUUUCCUCCACUUUCCCAGACAGAAGAGUCACCAACGCAGCCUCCUUGCUCAGGCUGCGCUGCCCCAACUACAGUCAGGGACCCCCCCGCCUUCCCUCUGCUGGGAGGCACCAGCCACCUGUGACUAGUGUCCUGACACCUCCCAUGUCCCCAGCAGACACCUGCCACAGUUGCGUUCGGGGAGAACCCGAGCAAUUAGCCAGCAGCGCCCCCUGGCGCCUCUUUCACCGCAAAUGUUCGGCUCUCAACUUGUUCAACCACCCUCCACCCGCUCCACGGGCAACUUUUCCGGGAAGGCGCCUCCAAAGACCUCUGUGAGUAGCGUAGGCUGCUCUGCUCUGACAACCUCUUCGGGGUAAAUUUCUUUUCCAUUUGAACAGCUUCUCCUUAGUUAAGGAGAAACCGUUAUUGCCCGGUUGCUUUUUCGUCUUUUGGAUGGAGAGAAGCAGAGGAAUUCUGGGCGGAGGCCAACGAUUAGCUGCAACAUCUACUGAUCACUUCCAUGAAGUCUUUGAGCCUUUGUAUAAAUAAAACACCAGCCGGGGGCUCCUUCUGCUCCCAUUGAUGCCCGAGUGCCAACUACAGGUUUGACUCUGAGACCCUCCUUAAAAAAUUAGGAAAAAAAUUUUUUAAAACGUUUUUAAAUUGGAUUUUUAUUGCCUAAGGAGGGAUCUGUAAAAUACGUAGAGUGGGAAGAAUGCAGAUAAAUAAGACCUGAAAGUUGUCCUCAAAUAUAUCAAAGCCAUACUGGAUAGUGGACCUGCUGGAGAAUAGAAAAAUAAACUGUUGAAUGCCUCUCCAUCAUUUUCUCUCCUGACACCCUAGUGGAGGGGCUCAUGAGUACCCGAAUGCCCAAAAUAUGGCCCAAAGGGAAGAUCCUAAAGAGUACACUAACUGCAUACUCAAGCCUGAAUUUAAUUGACUCGGUGGCAGAAACAAAAUUGUCCUGGUAAUGGGUUAUUCUAGCUCAGGUUACAAUAGCAGGAAAUUUUAAAAUAAUUGUGGAAAAAUGCACUCCAGGAGACAAUUAACUAUAUGAGCUACCCAGAGUAGGUUAGGGUGACCCUUGUCAAGACAUUCAUUUGAGAAAUAGGAAAGAAAGCAGGUCAUUUUUCUGUCUUAAAAAAAGAUUUGUAUUUUUCAUAUUGUGGCAGAAUUGAAACUUCUUACGCGGCUCAAGCUACUUAAAGAUUAUUCAGUGUUUGACAGAUGUUUGGUCAGACUGACUGUACAAUGUGUUCUGAUAUGAUUCACUGUUCCUGAAAGAGGGAAAAUCUUCUAACAGUUCUGAAGUCAGGGAAAUUCUGUAACUUGAUUCCUCUGUAAGGGGGCUGGCUUCUGGCAUUGGCUGCCACUAUUCUGUCAGGUUUUUUUCUCCUUUCCCUUUAAAUUUCUUCUGGCUGCACUCUAUUAUUCCAUGGACCUUUAGGUUUUCCCUCUUUGUAAUUUGAUGCCCUAUUCAGCAGCGUUCAGGAAGUUGUCUUGCCUUAGUUUAGUCCUUCUCAUGGCUGCUUCUGCUUUCCUUAAUUGAAUGGGCGGCUUGUUUUUUUCUUUUAGGUUUUUAAGGGAGACUAUACUAUUUUAGGCCUCUGUUAUGGAUUUCUAUAUAACGUGAGUUGAUACACACAUAUCAGAGUAAUCAAAGGAAUAUUUAGUUCAAUCCCUUUGAUAUUGUUUGUUUCUUAAAAUUCUUUUUAUAGAAAAAGCACAUUAAAACAUGUUCCAGGGUGUCCUGUUGUGGCUCAGCAGAAACGAACCUGACUGGUAUCCAUGAGGAUCGAGGUUCGAUCCCUUACCUCACUCAGUGGGUUAAGCAUCCAGUGUUGCCAUGAGCUGUGGUGUAGGUCACAGAUGAAGCUAGGAUCCUGUGUUGCUGUGGCUGUGGUGUAGGCCAGCAACUGUAGCUCCGAUUCGACUUCUAGCCUGGGAACUUCCAUAUGCCGCAGGUACAGCUCUAAAAAGAAAAAAAAAAAAA
rnacentral:lncRNA from 1 species